rnacentral:hammerhead_ribozyme from 1 species
AUUCAACUGAUGAGGCCCGAAUAGGACGAAAUGCGCAUUCUGGAU